GAAAUGCGAUAAGUAAUAUGAAUUGCAGAAUUCCGUGAAUCAUCGAAUCUUUGAACGCACAUUGCGCCCUCUGGCAUUCCGGGGGGCAUGCCUGUCCGAGCGUCAUUACGCACCCUCAAGCCCGGCUUGUGUGAUGGGCCCCGGCGUCUCGUUCGCGAGACGGGCCCGAAAGGCAGCGGCGGCGUCGACCCGAUGAGCCCGAGCGUAUGGGGACUUCUGUCACACGUUCGCGGUGCGGACCGGCGCCUGCUUGACUUUUCUGAUUAUCCAGGUUGACCCCGGAUCAGGUAGGGAUACCCGCUGAACUUAAGC
rnacentral:misc_RNA from 1 species